rnacentral:rRNA from 2 species
GCGUCGAGCGGCGGACGGGUGAGUAAUGCCUAGGAAAUUGCCCUGAUGUGGGGGAUAACCAUUGGAAACGAUGGCUAAUACCGCAUGAUGCCUACGGGCCAAAGAGGGGGACCUUCGGGCCUCUCGCGUCAGGAUAUGCCUAGGUGGGAUUAGCUAGUUGGUGAGGUAAGGGCUCACCAAGGCGACGAUCCCUAGCUGGUCUGAGAGGAUGAUCAGCCACACUGGAACUGAGACACGGUCCAGACUCCUACGGGAGGCAGCAGUGGGGAAUAUUGCACAAUGGGCGCAAGCCUGAUGCAGCCAUGCCGCGUGUGUGAAGAAGGCCUUCGGGUUGUAAAGCACUUUCAGUCGUGAGGAAGGUAGUGUAGUUAAUAGCUGCAUUAUUUGACGUUAGCGACAGAAGAAGCACCGGCUAACUCCGUGCCAGCAGCCGCGGUAAUACGGAGGGUGCGAGCGUUAAUCGGAAUUACUGGGCGUAAAGCGCAUGCAGGUGGUUUGUUAAGUCAGAUGUGAAAGCCCGGGGCUCAACCUCGGAAUAGCAUUUGAAACUGGCAGACUAGAGUACUGUAGAGGGGGGUAGAAUUUCAGGUGUAGCGGUGAAAUGCGUAGAGAUCUGAAGGAAUACCGGUGGCGAAGGCGGCCCCCUGGACAGAUACUGACACUCAGAUGCGAAAGCGUGGGGAGCAAACAGGAUUAGAUACCCUGGUAGUCCACGCCGUAAACGAUGUCUACUUGGAGGUUGUGGCCUUGAGCCGUGGCUUUCGGAGCUAACGCGUUAAGUAGACCGCCUGGGGAGUACGGUCGCAAGAUUAAAACUCAAAUGAAUUGACGGGGGCCCGCACAAGCGGUGGAGCAUGUGGUUUAAUUCGAUGCAACGCGAAGAACCUUACCUACUCUUGACAUCCAGAGAACUUUCCAGAGAUGGAUUGGUGCCUUCGGGAACUCUGAGACAGGUGCUGCAUGGCUGUCGUCAGCUCGUGUUGUGAAAUGUUGGGUUAAGUCCCGCAACGAGCGCAACCCUUAUCCUUGUUUGCCAGCGAGUAAUGUCGGGAACUCCAGGGAGACUGCCGGUGAUAAACCGGAGGAAGGUGGGGACGACGUCAAGUCAUCAUGGCCCUUACGAGUAGGGCUACACACGUGCUACAAUGGCGCAUACAGAGGGCGGCCAACUUGCGAAAGUGAGCGAAUCCCAAAAAGUGCGUCGUAGUCCGGAUUGGAGUCUGCAACUCGACUCCAUGAAGUCGGAAUCGCUAGUAAUCGUGGAUCAGAAUGCCACGGUGAAUACGUUCCCGGGCCUU